AGUGAACGCUGGCGGCAGGCCUAACACAUGCAAGUCGAGCGGCAGCGCGGGGGCAACCCUGGCGGCGAGCGGCGGACGGGUGAGGAAUUCGUCAGAAUCUGCCUUUUUGUGGGGGAUAACGUAGGGAAACUUACGCUAAUACCGCAUACGUCCUACGGGAGAAAGUGGGGGACCGCAAGGCCUCACGCAGAAAGAUGAGCCGACGACCGAUUAGCUAGUUGGUGGGGUAAAGGCCCACCAAGGCGACGAUCGGUAGCUGGUCUGAGAGGAUGAUCAGCCACACUGGGACUGAGACACGGCCCAGACUCCUACGGGAGGCAGCAGUGGGGAAUAUUGGACAAUGGGCGCAAGCCUGAUCCAGCCAUGCCGCGUGUGUGAAGAAGGCCUUCGGGUUGUAAAGCACUUUUGUCCGGAAAGAAAUCCCUGGAGCUAAUACCUUCGGGGGAUGACGGUACCGGAAGAAUAAGCACCGGCUAACUUCGUG
rnacentral:rRNA from 1 species